rnacentral:rRNA from 1 species
GACGAACGCUGGCGGCGUGCUUAACACAUGCAAGUCGAACGCUAAAGCCUGGUUCUUGCGCUGUGCUCGUGUGUCGCGCACGGGUGUGUCAUACGUGUGUCCCCUCCCCUAGUCUCGGGGAACUUCCUAGGACUCUGGCUCAUACCCUGGAUGAGCCAUUUCUCCACAUGGUGGUUUGGGGAGAUUGUUUUACUGGUUUUGGAUGGGCUCACGGCUUAUCAGCUUGUUGGUGGGGUAGUGGCCCACCAAGGCGCCGACGGGUAGCCGGCCUGAGAGGGUGACCGGCCACACUGGGACUGAGACACGGCCCAGACUCCUACGGGAGGCAGCAGUGGGGAAUAUUGCACAAUGGGCGGAAGCCUGAUGCAGCGACGCCGCGUGAGGGAUGACGGCCUUCGGGUUGUAAACCGCUUUCGGCAGGGAAGAAGCGAGAGUGACGGUAAGGGGAGAAGAAGCGCCGGCUAACUACGUG